rnacentral:rRNA from 2 species
CCUGACUGCUAUCGGAUUGAUACUAAGCCAUGCGAGUCAUUGUAGUAAUACAAGGCAGACGGCUCAGUAACGCGUAGUCAACCUAACCUAUGGACGGGAAUAACCUCGGGAAACUGAGAAUAAUGCCCGAUAGAACAUUAUGCCUGGAAUGGUUUAUGUUCCAAACGAUUUAUCGCCAUAGGAUGGGACUGCGGCCUAUCAGUUUGUUGGUGAGGUAAUGGCCCACCAAGACUAUUACAGGUACGGGCUCUGAGAGGAGUAGCCCGGAGAUGGGUACUGAGACACGGACCCAGGCCCUAUGGGGCGCAGCAGGCGAGAAAACUUUGCAAUGUGCGAAAGCACGACAAGGUUAAUCCGAGUGGUUUCUGCUAAAGGAACCUUUUGUCAGUCCUAAAAACACUAACGAAUAAGGGGUGGGCAAGUUCUGGUGUCAGCCGCCGCGGUAAAACCAGCACCUCAAGUGGUCAGGAUGAUUAUUGGGCCUAAAGCAUCCGUAGCCGGCUCUGUAAGUUUUCGGUUAAAUCUGUACGCUCAACGUACAGGCUGCCGGAAAUACUGCACAGCUAGGGAGUGGGAGAGGUAGACGGUACUCGGUAGGAAGGGGUAAAAUCCUUUGAUCUAUUGAUGACCACCUGUGGCGAAGGCGGUCUACCAGAACACGUCCGACGGUGAGGGAUGAAAGCUGGGGGAGCAAACCGGAUUAGAUACCCGGGUAGUCCCAGCUGUAAACUAUGCAAACUCAGUGAUGCAUUGGCUUAUGGCCAAUGCAGUGCUGCAGGGAAGCCGUUAAGUUUGCCGCCUGGGAAGUACGUACGCAAGUAUGAAACUUAAAGGAAUUGGCGGGGGAGCACCACAAGGGGU